rnacentral:rRNA from 1 species
AUGGUAAACGGGCCAACAAGCCCGUAUUCUAGAGCCCACAAUCACAAGGCUUGUGAGCCGUCCAUUUCUCUUACCCAGCCCGUAAUCACAAUGCCACCAGCCCAGCACUUCCUCUCUCUCGCCAAAAAGAGAAACGGCGGCGACUCCUCACUCCUCAGAAUCAGGUUUCCCCCUCCCACUCCCCAUCGCCCGCAAUGGCGACGGCGGCGGCAACUCCGCCCCGCUUCCAGAUCUCCAACUAGCGAGUGCGACGCGCCAGAUCGCUUCGCCAUGGAGGACCGCGGCGGGGAGAUCCCCGCCAAGCGACCACCCAAGCCUUUCGAUGGCGGCGAGGACCGCCUCAGCGCGGUUCCCGACGAACUUCUUAUCGACAUCCUUCUCAAGAUCCGCGAUGCCUCCGCCGCCGCGCGGACCAGCGUCCUAUCCCGCCGCUGGCGCCGCGUCUGGACGCUCCUCCCGGAGCUCCACUUUCUCCCCCACGAUGACCCCCACCGAAUACGCCUCGCCCUCACCGCCCAUGAAGCGCCGGCCCUAGGCUUCCUCGACGUCGCCGUCAUUGACGCCACCCCCGAGUCCAUGGUGGCCUGGCUUCAAAUCGCUGCGCGCCGCCUCUCCGGCCAUCUACGUCUCAUCAACACUGAGGAGAACACCUCGUUAGACGAGGCCGGAGAAAGAGGCGCAUUCGAGCUGCCCUGCUUCGAGGAUGCCAUGUCCAUCAGCCUCGAACUAGGCCAUCUUGGCCUCGCUGUGCCAUCUUCGGGUGUAUUCGCCCGGCUCACCAAUCUCUUCCUGAAUCGCGUCCGGCUACAUGGUCCGUCUAUGCUCGGUGACGCUGUCUCCUGGCCACGGUGUCCAUCCCUGCGGAGACUCAUCGUUCAUAAUGCCGACGGUGUGCGCAACUUCGCAAUCCACUCCGAUUCUCUCCUACAAAUGGACCUGAGGAAUCUCCGGUCAGAUAAUGCCCUUGGUCUGGGCAACUUCACCAUUCGUUCAGACUCUCUACUGCGAAUGACUCUCACGAGUCUGCAUGGCUUGGAGCAGCUCACUGUUAUGGCGUCGGCACUCCAAUUUCUAAGUGUGAGCUCCUGCAUUUAUUAUAGUUUGAGAAAUGAUCAACCGGUUGCAAACAUCUCGGCCCCUCAGCUGACAUCCCUCCAGUGGAAGGAUGAUUAUCAUCCAAGCUACACCCAGCUUAAAAUGGAAAAUCUAGAAAGGCUGAGUGCCCACCCUUUUUACGUAUAUGGACAAGAGUCGCAGAAGACGUUCAAUAGUAAUUGUACGAGGCUUCUACGGCGCUUUGAGGUCAUCUGGAUUCUCAAAUUAAUGCUUCUCUAUCUGCCGGAAAUUACUAACCAUGAGUACUUGAUGGAAGACAUUAAAAAGAUCCCAAACACUGCAUUAAUGGUCCUGGAAAUAGUGGCAAGUGGACAUUCCUUUGGAGCCAGUUCAUUCCAUGUCCUCAGCACGUGUAGAAUGCUUCUUCUUAAACUUCUUGACGUACCUGGCCAUCUGGUGGCACAAACUGGAUGCCCAUCAGACUGUGUUUGUGAUCAGCCACCAAACUGGAAAACCGAGGAACUCACGCUGUAUUGCCUUCGAGAAGUAGAGAUCCAAAACUUGAGAGGAACUGAACAUGAAACUGCUCUUAUGAAACGGUUAUUCCGUUGGGCAACAGUGCUAGAAAAGAUGACAGUAACUUUCCAUUUCUCAGUCGCUGACAGCAAGGCCAAGGAGUUCUGCCAGAUGCUUCGAAGCUUCUGUAGGCCAGAAAUAUCUAUUAAGGGGCAACGCUUCGCCUAA